rfam:Ophiophagus hannah scaffold730.1, whole genome shotgun sequence.
UGAUAGGAUUUAUUUAAAUCCCCCAACAUCCUAAUCAGAAAAUUGU